UUGGAGAUAAAUGACGAUAUAGAUUGUUCCAGGACAGUUCUAGAGUUUAUGAUAUAGUGUAGCCAGCAAACAUGCAGAUGCAUGUUAAGAAGCAGAAAUCUAAUAACCUAAAUAGUAAGCCAAAGCAGUUGAGUACUAGCAAGAAUACAAAAAAAAUAAUUUUUCAAACUACAGUAUACCUACCUCGUCAUCAAUAGUUCUGAAGUUUUUGAAAGUCACUGCAAGAUCGUUAAACAAGCUUUAGAUGGAAAUUUUCCUGGACAAUUGAAGUUCAUACAAUCUUUUCAAGUUAAGAAACAGUGAAUAUUCAUCAUCACCAUCAUGCAACAGCAAAAAAUGGACAUUUAACCAACAUGCAUCAAUAAAACACAUAGUCACCUUCAAUUUGUUAAGGGCACAUACAACAACUUCUUUUAUUGCAGAUUUAAGUAUAAUAAUGAGCUCAUCUCCAAUCCCCUUCAAUUUGUUAAGGGCAAAGUCCUGUAACUCCCCAUAACUCUCAGUAGCACAAAAUUUCAGAGCUUUUACACAAGAUCUCAGAGCUUCCAUCUCACCAUGCUUAAAAAUGCCUUUUUCAUGAAAAGGACAUAUUUAAAAAUCUAGGAAAGCAAAAUAAAACAGAUUUUAGUUUCAAGUUCAAAAAAAUUUAUUUCAUAUUGGCAAUCCCCUAGAUAGUUCAUGAUUGUAAUAAGUUUAAUUGUUCUAGAUGCGGGCUUUUAUACAGUUUAAAGAAAAAUAAUAGUUUUAGAGCCAUACUACUAUUACUCUAUACAACAGUAAGAUGUGAGCUAGAGCUGCCACAAAUUUAGAGAAAACAUUGAUAGGGAGAGCAAAAACCACCUGGAAUAUUUAGUUGGCGUUCACAAAGCUUCCAGAACUUUUGAAGAAUGGAUUCAUCUGGAGAGUAUCCCAAAGCUUCUAGCUCUGUGGAUGCAAAGGUUGCUUUCCUGAACAACCACCACUGUUCUGAAAAAAUAACACAACCUAGACAAAAAAAAAACAAACUCAAUUAAUCAAAAGAGAGCAUAGAAGGCACUAACAGGAGAGAAGUGAACAUAGAAGUUUGGAAUAAUGGUUACCAUACAUGCAAGUUGACGCACAAAGUCCUUCCAAAGAUUUAGUAGUCAGGAAGGACUCAAGUAGUUCAAACAAGGCACUGUGCUUGGAGAUAAAGGAAGAUAUAGAUUGUUCCAGGACUGAUCCAGAGUUUAUGAUAGUGUAGAUAGCAAACAUGAAGAUGCAAGUUAAGAAGCAUAAAUCCAAUAAGCUGAGCAGUAAGCCAAAACAGUUAGGUAUUGGCAAGACUUCAAAACAGAAUUUCUCAAACUACGGUAUACCUACCUCGUCAUCAAUUCUUCUGAAGUUUUUGAAAGUUUCUACAAGAUUGUUAAGCAAGCUUUCGAUGGAAAUUUGCCUGAACAAUUGAAGUUCAUACAACCUUUUCAAGUUAAGAAGAAGUGAAUAUUCAUCAUCACCAUCAUGCAACAAAAAAAAAAUGGACAUUUAACCAACAUGCAUCAAUAAAACACAUAGUCACCUUCAAUUUGUUAAGGGCACAUACAACAACUUCUUUUAUUGCAGAUUUAAGUAUAAUAAUGAGCUCAUCUCCAAUCCCCUUCAAUUUGUUAAGGGCAAAGUCCUAUAACUCC
rnacentral:lncRNA from 1 species